ACUAGAUUAGUUUUCUCAGAGGGUAUAAUGUAAUAUUUUCGUCUCUCUCAUCUCACAACACAGAACAGGACUUGAACGCGCAACACAGAACAGAUCGGGUCUCUCUAUUUUAUUCAUGGCAGAACUCUCACCUGCAAGUAAAGGGAUAUUUUCGUCUCUCUCGUCUCACUUAUCAAAAGAGGGCUGGAAAGCCCUAGAAGAACCAGAAAAGAAGAAUGUCAUGAUGUCACAUUCUCGCCAUGGCAGAAUUCUCGCCCUUGUUCUACUAAUCACAAUCCUUUUCCCGAAGAUUGGGUGCCUGCUUUUUUUCUCAUGGGCCUUGUUGUUUAUAUGGGUAGCAUAUACUUUGCGUGAGGAAUUGUUACAGAAUCGCUAUACAAUGCAGCUGUGCAAGUACUCGGGGGUCUUUACAAUGCAGUUCUGCAAGCAUAUGCGAGUUUAUACACUGCAUUUAUCGAAGCAGAUGCAGGUCAUGGCAUGACAGAUGCGGAGCCAAAUGGGUCUCCUGUAUAACCUGACCCAGCCAUUGAUUCUCAUCUACGUAUAUGUUCAUGUAUUGUUGCUUGGUGUAAUAAAAAUUCCGAACUGUUAUCUAUGUAUAGUUGCUUGGUGUGUAAUUGAAAUUUCAAAGACUAUUUUGACCAAGCGUGAUCGCAACUUCGUUUUAACAUUAA